GUGAAUCAUCGAGUUUUUGAACGCAUGUUGCGCCCGAGGCUUGUCCCGAGGGCAUGCCUGCCUGAGCGUCAUC
rnacentral:rRNA from 1 species